GGUUGACCUCGGAUCAGGUAGGAAUAC
rnacentral:rRNA from 1 species